CAGAGUAUUAUAUAGUAGUAUAUAGUAUUAGUGCAGAGUAUUAUAAAGUAUUAGUACAGAGUAUUAUAUUGUAUUAUAUAGUUGUUACGGCACCCCCGGGCAUAAAAGCGUUAAACCGCCGUUUAGUCGAUCUUCCCCUUCCAGAGAUACAGGCACAGCUAUUGCAGAACACCAAACUCGAGAAACUGGAUACAAGGGAAUGCUCCAAACUCCCGAAUUGGAUACAAAGUAGCACUCCAAACUCCCGAACUGGAACCUCACGAAUAGCUACUAGCAGACGAACAGGAAAAGCACCCAAGCGGCUUACACUCCUGGCAAUCAGUCUCUAACAGCAUACAGUAAAUCCCCCCAAGAACGAGACAGACAUGUAUCACAUUCAGACACACAGAAGUUAAACAUCCCCACAAUGCAUCCUAAUUUCCCUCCCUCUAUCCUGGAGAUAAUUGGGAAGUAAUCCAAUUAUCUCCCAGGACAGAGGCAAAACUCCAUUAUACACGUGGGGACACAAAGACAGUAAAAUACAUUAAAACAUACAGUGUUA